UCGGGCAUAAGCCCUUCAUCAGGAAGACCGUGAGUGAACCCAGGGUCAGCUCCGGGCUGUAUCUGACUGACACACACCCUGCUCUCCCUGCAACACGGAGUUUUACCAAAUGUUUCUCAGCAGCUUCUCGGUCUCCUGUCAGUGUCUGCCUCUGAUCCUGAUCGCAGUCCCGGUCCCGGGAAAGGAGCUGCAGGGACACAGCUCACAGAAACUACUCCCCCCGCUGCUGCUGCUGCUGCUGCUAAAUGUUGUUGCUGCUGUUUCAGGUGACUCGCCUGUCCCAGUUUCUGGGUUCCUUGGGGAGCAGGUUGUGCUGCCCUGUACCUACAAAGGGAAUGUCCCAGUCUCUGAUUUACUGGUAAUCUAGGGGACACAGAAGCAUGAAACUUUAAACGUGUUUGUCGAUGGGAAUGAUGAUUUGGCCCAACAAGACCCACGGUUCAGAAACCGAGCGAACCUGUUCAAAGAUCAACUGGAACAAGGGAACUGGUCAGUUCUGAUCUCUGACCUCAGGGAGACAGACCAGGAUGUGUAUCAGUGUUGGAUUCGAAAGAGAGUUGGUGUGCUUUUUUAUUCAGAGCAUCAUUAUGUCGAUCUCUCUGUAAAAGAGCGAGCUCCUACACCUGG